CCAGAUGGCCUUGGCGUCCUUCAGCUGAGAAACACUUUUGUGCAUCUCUUUGCUCAUAGAUCCGAGCAACUAGUGUUUGACCAUCAUGUUACAACGCCUCCACUAUUGUUGCUCUUCUCCGUCUUCUUCAGGUUUCUUCUGAGUUCCAUCUAUAAAACCAGCCUUGUUCUUUACGUCUAGGGCAUCGAUGAUGGCCUCCUGCCAUGUUUGGUAAUUGUCUUCUUCAAGAGAUAU
rnacentral:lncRNA from 1 species